rnacentral:rRNA from 1 species
CACCGCGGUUAUACGAGUGACACAAACUAAUAUUACACGGCGUUAAGGGUGAUUAGAAAUAUCUUACCCAAAUAAAGUUAAGACCCCAUUAAGCUGUUAUACGCUCUCAUGCCUAAAAAUAUCAUUCACGAAAGUAACUUUAUAUAUAACAGAGUAUUUGACCUCACGACAGUUAAGACCCAAACUAGGAUUAGAUACCCCACU